GACAGAGGUGCCAAGCGUUAGGCGGAAUCACUGGGCUUAAAGCGUGUGUAGGCGGAUGUCUAAGUAUCUUGUGAAAUCCCCAGGCUCAACCUGGGAACUGCGUCUGAUACUGGAUGGCUUGAAUCCGGGAGAGGGAUGCAGAAUUCCAGGUGUAGCGGUGAAAUGCGUAGAUAUCUGGAGGAAUACCGGUGGCGAAGGCGGCAUCCUGGACCGGCAUUGACGCUGAGGAGCGAAAGCUAGGGGAGCAAACGGG
rnacentral:rRNA from 1 species